rnacentral:rRNA from 1 species
GAUGAACGCUGGCGGCGUGCUUAACACAUGCAAGUCGAACGGAAAGGCCCAAGCUUGCUUGGGUACUCGAGUGGCGAACGGGGGAGUAACACGUGGGUGAUCUGCCCUGCACUUCGGGAUAAGCCUGGGAAACUGGGUCUAAUAUCGGAUAGGACCACAUUUAGGACGGUGUGGUGGAAAGUAUUUCGGUGUGGGAUGAGCUCGCGGCCUAACCGCCUGUUGGUGGGGUAAUGGCCUACCAAGGCGUCGACGGAGAGCCGGCCUGCGAGGGUGUACGGCCACAUUGGGCCUGUGAUGCGGCCCGCACUCCUACGGGUGGCGGCAGUGGGGAAUGUUUCACAGUGCGCGCAAGCGUGAUGCAGGGAGGCCUCGUGGUCGUUGACGGCUUUUAUGUUGUAAACUCCUUUCGCUAGGGACGAAGCGUUUUUGUGACGGUACCUGGAGAAGAAGCACCGGCUAACUACGUG